rnacentral:rRNA from 1 species
CAAAUGACUCUCGGCAACGGAUAUCUUGGCUCACGCAUCGAUGAAGAACGUAGCAAAAUGCGAUACUUGGUGUGAAUUGCAGAAUCCCGUGAACCAUCGAGUUUUUGAACGCAAGUUGCGCCCGAAGCCAUUUGGUCGAGGGCACGUCUGCCUGGGCGUCACGC